GAUGAACGCUAGCGGCAGGCUUAAUACAUGCAAGUCGUGGGGCAGCAGGGGUGUAGCAAUACAUCUGCUGGCGACCGGCAAACGGGUGCGUAACACGUACGCAACCUUCCCGUUACUGUGGCAUAGCCCAGGGAAACUUGGAUUAAUACCACAUAUUAUAUAGAGAGGGCAUCCUUUUUAUAUCAAAGCUUCGGCGGUAACGGAUGGGCGUGCGGUUGCUUAGGUAGUUGGCGGGGUAACGGCACACCAAGCCUACGAUCAAUAGCUGAUGUGAGAGCAUGAUCAGCCACACGGGCACUGCGACACGGGCCCGACUCCUACGGGAGGCAGCAGUAAGUAAUAUUGGGCAAUGGACGAAAGUCUGACCCAGCCAUGCCGCGUGAAGGAUUAAGGUCCUCUGGAUUGUAAACUUCUUUUCUCUGGGGCGAAAACCAGCUAUUCUUAGCUAUUUGACAGUACCAGAGGAAUAAGCACCGGCUAACUCCGUGCCAGCAGCCGCCGUAACAC
rnacentral:rRNA from 1 species